UGAAAACUUCCUGCAUUCCAGAAGUUCGAUGGCAUUGAGAAGGUGAAUCACAGUAGCUAACUCAACGCAAGGAGUACAAACACUUCGAGUGCUUCAGAAGUGUGAGCAAAAAGCAGGCGACGGCUAGUAACCAGCUCAAUGCAUGGAGUACAACCCUUGAGGAGGCGGGCGAAGUCAAGUAACCAUUGCCUUCUCAACUCUUAAGAGAAUGGGCGAAACCAAGUACCCCAAUUCUCUUAUCUAUCCAGCAG
rnacentral:lncRNA from 1 species